rnacentral:rRNA from 1 species
CCUACGGGAGGCAGCAGUGGGGAAUAUUGGGCAAUGGGCGAAAGCCUGACGCAGCAACGCCGCGUGAAGGAAGAAGGCUUUCGGUUUGUAAACUUCUUUUAACAGGGACGAGAAGAAAACGGUACCUGUCGAAUAAGCCACGGCUAACUACGUGCCAGCAGCCGCGGUAAUACGUAGGUGGCAAGCGUUUCCCGGAUUUACUGGGUGUAAAGGGCGUGUAGCCGGGCUGACAAGUCAGAUGUGAAAUCCGGGGGCUCAACCCCCGAAAUGCAUUUGAAACUGUGGGUCUUGAGUAUCGGAGAGGCAGGCGGAAGUCCUAGUGUAGAGGUGAAAUGCGUAGAUAUUAGGAGGAACACCAGUGGCGAAGGCGGCCUGCUGGACGACAACUGACGGUGAGGCGCGAAAGCGUGGGGAGCAAACAGGAUUAGAUACCCUUGUAGUC